GACGAACGCUGGCGGCGUGCUUAACACAUGCAAGUCGAACGGAAAGGCCCUGCUUUUGUGGGGUGCUCGAGUGGCGAACGGGUGAGUAACACGUGAGUAACCUGCCCUUGACUUUGGGAUAACUUCAGGAAACUGGGGCUAAUACCGGAUAGGAGCUCCUGCUGCAUGGUGGGGGUUGGAAAGUUUCGGCGGUUGGGGAUGGACUCGCGGCUUAUCAGCUUGUUGGUGGGGUAGUGGCUUACCAAGGCUUUGACGGGUAGCCGGCCUGAGAGGGUGACCGGCCACAUGGGGACUAAGAUACGGACCAGACGCCUACGGGAGGCAGCAGGGGGAAAUAUUGCACAAUGGGCGGAAGCCGGAGGCAGCAACGCCGGGUGUGGGAUGACGGCCUUCGGGUUGUAAACCGCUUUCGCCUGUGACGAAGCGUGAGUGACGGUAAUGGAUAAAGAAGCACCGGCUAACUACGUG
rnacentral:rRNA from 1 species